UACGAAGGGGGCUAGCGUUGUUCGGAAUCACUGGGCGUAAAGCGCACGUAGGCGGAUUUUUAAGUCAGGGGUGAAAUCCCGAGGCUCAACCUCGGAACUGCCUUUGAUACUGGAGAUCUUGAGUCCGGAAGAGGUAAGUGGAACUGCGAGUGUAGAGGUGAAAUUCGUAGAUAUUCGCAAGAACACCAGUGGCGAAGGCGGCUCACUGGCCCGAUACUGACGCUGAGGCGCGAAAGCGUGGGGAG
rnacentral:rRNA from 1 species